rnacentral:rRNA from 1 species
CCUACGGGUGGCAGCAGUGAGGAAUAUUGGUCAAUGGCCGGAAGACUGAACCAGCCAAGCCGCGUGCAGGAUGAAGGCCCAGAGCGUCGCAGACCUCUUUUGCCGGGGGACAAAAUGCCUGACUCGUGCUGUCCUGAGGGUACCCCAUGAAAAAGCAUCGGCUAACUCCGUGCCAGCAGCCGCGGUAAUACGGAGGAUGCGGGCGUUAUCCGGAUUUAUUGGGUUUAAAGGGUGCGCAGGCGGGCGUUUAAGCGGGCGGUGAAAUCCCGGGGCUCAACCCCGCCGAGCCGGCGGAACUGGGGGGCUUGAGUGCGCCGGAGGUAUGCGGAAUGCGAGGUGGAGCGGUGAAAUGCAGAGAGAUCGCGCAGAACCCCGAUUGCGAAGGCAGCGUGCCGUGGCGCCACUGACGCUGAGGCACGAAAGCGCGGGGAUCGAACAGGAUUAGAUACCCGGGUAGUC